UGUGAGCAGGAAGGGACAGGGGGUUGUGUGAGAGACAGAAAGGGUAAGAUGUUGUGCAAGGGACAGGCAGGGUUAGGUGGCUGUACUAGGGACAGGAAGGAGCGAGCUGGAACUGGAGAAGGAAGAGAGAAGAAGGAGAAAAAGAGCCAGAGCUGCAUGGAGCUGUCCAUGGGAGGCACAUAGAAAAGUUUUAUGGAAUGUUCUCUCUCCCUCCUGAUGUUCAAUCAGCCUCCACCACUGGCACAGAUGAAAUCAUACAGUGUCAGAACUGGUGGGGGAAUGCUGCCUGUGUAGCUUUGGAACAGCAGGGGAGAGCUGUGGACUUGUCCGUCCUCGCUGCAGAAACGGAUUUGUUUAAGAGCUGCUCUGCCUGUGUGAGUGCUCCCACGCCCUUGCAGGUGUGGGAAUGACUUGGACACAGCUUUGCAAGCUGUGGGUUGGGCCCAGGGCAGCCUCAUUCAUUGGAGACUUACAUUAUUAACAGUGUGCUGCUUCAUCCAUGAGGGAAGCUGCCAUCAGUUUGGGAGUGCCAGCGACGCUGAGGAGUUUAUAUGUUCUGAGAGCCCAAUAAUCAUCAUCUACUUCACUUACAGAGUGCAGCAGUUUUAGAUGCCUGGUUGCUUUCCCAGAUUUUGUUGCCUUUCUAAUUAAAUCAGACUUGGGGAUUUGAAAUUGAAUAGGUGUGAAAUACACAAUAAAAGUCUGUAAGUAGUUUAAGACUGGCAAGGCCUG